GGAAUAUUGGGCAAUGGGCGCAAGCCUGACCCAGCAACGCCGCGUGAAGGAAGAAGGCUUUCGGGUUGUAAACUUCUUUUAUGAGGGACGAAGAACGUGACGGUACCUCAUGAAUAAGCCACGGCUAACUACGUGCCAGCAGCCGCGGUAAUACGUAGGUGGCGAGCGUUAUCCGGAUUUACUGGGUGUAAAGGGCGCGUAGGCGGGGAAGCAAGUCAGAUGUGAAAUCCAUGGGCUCAACUCAUGAACUGCAUUUGAAACUGUUUCUCUUGAGUGCCGGAGAGGUAGACGGAAUUCCUAGUGUAGCGGUGAAAUGUGUAGAUAUUAGGAGGAACACCAGUGGCGAAGGCGGUCUACUGGACGGUAACUGACGCUGAGGCGCGAAAGCGUGGGGAGCAAACA
rnacentral:rRNA from 1 species